rnacentral:rRNA from 1 species
GGAUGAACGCUGGCGGCGUGCCUAAUACAUGCAAGUCGAGCGAACGGACGAGAAGCUUGCUUCUCUGAUGUUAGCGGCGGACGGGUGAGUAACACGUGGAUAACCUACCUAUAAGACUGGGAUAACUUCGGGAAACCGGAGCUAAUACCGGAUAAUAUUUUGAACCGCAUGGUUCAAAAGUAAAAGACGGUCUUGCUGUCACUUAUAGAUGGAUCCGCGCUGCAUUAGCUAGUUGGUAAGGUAACGGCUUACCAAGGCAACGAUGCAUAGCCGACCUGAGAGGGUGAUCGGCCACACUGGAACUGAGACACGGUCCAGACUCCUACGGGAGGCAGCAGUAGGGAAUCUUCCGCAAUGGGCGAAAGCCUGACGGAGCAACGCCGCGUGAGUGAUGAAGGUCUUCGGAUCGUAAAACUCUGUUAUUAGGGAAGAACAUAUGUGUAAGUAACUGUGCACAUCUUGACGGUACCUAAUCAGAAAGCCACGGCUAACUACGUG